rnacentral:lncRNA from 1 species
AGUGAGGUUAAUGACGUAACAUUGGGGGGAAAUGAAAAAACUAGACAAGUAGAAAGAGAAAUAGAUGCUGAAGUGGUGGAGGAAUGGGGAAAUGAAAGUGGUGCAUCAAAUAUAUGAUUGUAUUUUAGGGGGCUCCCCAUGCCAGUUGAACGAUAAUAAAUAGUUAGGGUAGCUCCUCACAAAUUAUAAUGACUUUAUUAAAGAGACUGACGUGCGCUCAGGUGAUGGGAUAACUAGCAGAUGCAACUCAAAUUAGUUAGGGG